rnacentral:rRNA from 1 species
CUGGCGGCGUGCCUAAUACAUGCAAGUCGAGCGGAGUAUUUGGGAGCUUGCUCCGAAAUAACUAGCGGCGGACGGGUGAGUAAUACGUAGGCAACCUGCCUGUAAGACUGGGAUAACUGCCGGAAACGGUAGCUAAUACCCGGAUAAAUCAUUUCGCCGCAUGGCGGGAUGCUGAAAGACGGAGCAAUCUGUCACUUACAGAUGGGCCUACGGCGCAUUAGCUAGUUGGUGGGGUAAAGGCCUACCAAGGCGACGAUGCGUAGCCGGCCUGAGAGGGUGAACGGCCACACUGGGACUGAGACACGGCCCAGACUCCUACGGGAGGCAGCAGUAGGGAAUCUUCCGCAAUGGACGAAAGUCUGACGGAGCAACGCCGCGUGAGUGAUGAAGGUUUUCGGAUCGUAAAGCUCUGUUGCCAGGGAAGAACGUCUUGGAGAGUAACUGCUCUGAGAGUGACGGUACCUGAGAAGAGAGCCCCGGCUAACUACGUGCCAGCCGCAGC